rnacentral:rRNA from 1 species
AACGGCCGUAUCAUGCUGAAUAUACCGGUUCUCGUUAGAUCACCGAAGUCAAGCAUCAUUGGGCGCGGUCAGUACUUGGGUGGGUGACCAUCUGGGAACACCGCGUGCCGUU